GCUCUGUGCCUCGUUUGUUUGUUGGUUGAAUUUGAACUUUGCUUAAUCAUAUGGUGAUUAUGACAAAUAACUUUUGUUCCUUUCCUAUUAGAGUGGACCACUUGCUGCAUAUUAUAAGCUUCCACUCAACCGCGUGAUUGUGUUUCAUGAUGAUAUGGAUUUGCCAUGUGGGGUACUUCGUCUUCACCCUAAAGGAGGUCAUCAUAGUCACAAUGGAUUAAAGAGUGUGAUUUAUCAUUUUCGCGGAAACAAAGAGUUUCCUCGAUUAAGAAUAGGUUGGUGA